rnacentral:rRNA from 1 species
UGGGGAAUAUUGGACAAUGGGCGAAAGCCUGAUCCAGCCAUGCCGCGUGUGUGAAGAAGGUCUUCGGAUUGUAAAGCACUUUAAGUUGGGAGGAAGGGCAUUAACCUAAUACGUUAGUGUUUUGACGUUACCGACAGAAUAAGCACCGGCUAACUCUGUGCCAGCAGCCGCGGGAAUACAGAGGGUGCAAGUGUUAAUCGGCAUUCCUGGGCGUAAAGCGCGCGUAGGUGGUUUGUUAAGUUGGAUGUGAAAUCCCCGGGCUCAACCUGGGAACUGCAUUCAAAACUGACUGACUAGAGUAUGGUAGAGGGUGGUGGAAUUUCCUGUGUAGCGGUGAAAUGCGUAGAUAUAGGAAGGAACACCAGUGGCGAAGGCGACCACCUGGACUAAUACUGACACUGAGGUGCGAAAGCGUGGGGAGCAAACA